UUUUUCUUGAGCAGUUGUUAUAAUGAUAUUUGCACAAUCUGAUUAUCACAAAAAAAAAACCAAAAAAAACCCACAAAAGAAUGUGAUGACCAAAUUAACUCUCAAAAGUGACCAAAAAUUUACUACUUUUUUUUUAUCCCUCUGCUCUUUCAUGGCCUCUGGUUACUAAUCUGUCACAUAAUCGUGUUAUUUGUGUGUAUCAUGCCUAUCAUACACAUUGCAUAUAUGUUUUCUCUAGGGGAAACAAUGUAUUGUUAAAUAUUCGCUGCUUCACAAAAAGUAAUCUGCUUUUUUAAAAGCUGUAAGUAAAAAAAUAAAUAAACUGAUAGUUGGGACUAAACAUGAAAUGUGCUGAUGAAAGGAGCACUUUUGUGGCAGAGUUUGUCCUAGUAGCUUGCUGAAUAUGGAAGUCUUGUAGUAUUAACCUACAAUUAGGUAAAGUACUCUAAGGCCUUACCCCUACACUGGCAGCUCCUGCAAAAGAUCUUUAAGAAUUAUGAGAACAGUGGCAAGUAAUCUUUAUAAGACAUAUUUGAGAAUGCCAUUUUGGUGUUUCCUUUGGUUUUCUGGUGAGCCUCAAGUCCUCUGAUUCUGCUUUUAGAUUUUGACAUUUCUGUCGUUGGGUUUUACUCAUCAUUGUGUAAACUAGGGUUUGUGUAAUGAUCACAAGAUUUACGUUCCAUGUUAAUUCAGGAAUGAAGGGGAUAAAUUAUUAAAUACAAAAAAAAAAAAAAACCCUGAAACAUGCCUACACUAACUUUGCGUUGUUCCUGCUGAGCUUCUGUUCUUCUGCCUGGAAAUCCUGCUCACUUUUAGCUUUGGGCCCAAAGAAAGACCAGCCUUACAUCACUUAAGAUAGCUGCAUCCUAUUCCUGUCUCUUAUCCUUCUACAGCUCUCUCUUUAGGCCAAAUUCUGCAUGGAUAUCAUCACAUCUCUUGAAUUCUGUGAAACGUCCUAUAUUUUUAAUAACAGGUAAGCUAUUGCAAAGAUAUAGAGGGUGCAUUUUGUUCUUUCAGUGUGCAAAAAUAAGACCUGCUGAACCAAACUGUUCAAGAAAUAAGUUAAUUGGAAAAUCAUGUGAAAAAAAACCCAAGGACUCCCAACAGGUUUGCAAGUUCCUGUACUCAAAAAAGGUACUUGGAAUCCCACUCCCUUCUCAAAUCAAAUGAAUCCUAUAAUGGGACAACAUCUCUCUGGACAGUAGGUCUCAACUUCUUCUGCCCUGGCUGAGCCUAAUGCUCUCACUGGUCCUCUCCCAACCAGGAGCUGAGCUAAGACUGGCACAGACUGUUUGAGUCCUUGUGAUCAGAAAAGGCACAACUCCAUUGUAGGAGGGAGGGGGAGGAAGGUUUGACCCUUCUGGGAGUUGGAGUGGGUUGUCCUGCCAGCAGCACUUUGAUGUGAGCUGCUGCCCCGCUGGCCAGGCAGUGUUUGCAGUGGCCACAGUUAAACAGUGACCAGGGCAAAUGAUCUCAGCUGUGGCUGCAGAGAUAAGAGGGGCUUCCAUCGAGGCAAGCUGGCUAAGCUGACCUCAAGUCAGCUUUUCUUCUCUGAUUUAGACAGCUCCAAGGAAUGCCUCAGGCACAAGCCAGCAGUCAUGCUUUGGAGGAGCUGCUGGCUUACAUUGCUCAAGCCCAGAGAAAAGCUGCCCCUCAGUCUGUAAAUUGCAAAUUCUUGAGAGUAGUGAUUCAUGUUCCCCAAAACAUGGAACUGUCUUUAAAAUCCUCCUUUUAUCUUUUUAAUCAGGCUUCUUAUUGGCAUUCUGGUCUCCUAGACAAUCUGUUGUGUCCUGAAGCUUAGGGAGAGGCACUCUAUAAACCAAGAAACAAGAAAUUCUACCAUUUACAUUUGUGAUGAGUGUUAUCACCAUUUCUGUAUCUAUUCCAACUGUGAUUAUAAGGUGAGUUUUCCUGUCUUAGGAGGAAAAAAAAAAAAAAACCAGAAGAAAAAAAUGGAUGAAUGGUAACAUAGCUUGAACAGGGUUAUUCAGACAAAGUUGGGAGCAGAACUGAGGACUCUAACAUGGGAAAGCUUUGUGUUUUACUUUGGCAUGCAGUUUGUUCUGAAGGACAGUGGCUAAUAGAAAGUUUCUGUGAUUUUCAGCAGCCCAGGGGAGCUCAGCCAUUAGCAGCUGCACCACUUGACAAACUUAGCCUCUUGCUCUGUGGUCAGAGGCCAAUUCUUCAGCCCAACAGUCUCAGACUUUGUACACAAUUAAGGUGUCAUAGGUGGGGUCAGCAGAUGCCAAAAAAAAAGGACUCUGGUGGGACUUUUGGCUGGGUGAUUGGUUGCCACCAGCAAUUUACUUCCAGAAAUGUUCCCAGAAACCAGUGGUGUUUGGGCCUUGUUGCUCCCUGCACAGGCUGAUGCUGGGAUUGCUGCUGUACAUGAAGUGAUGUGGAUCUGUCAGACUGGAAGGGGCUCAGGUUCUGCCAGUGGUGCUUACGGAAGGGAAGGAAUAAUUUGAUUAUUCCUGAUUCUCUAUAGCUUCUGCUGAUUCUCUAUAGCUCCUGCUGGCUCAAUACAUCAUCUUGUUCCUUGUAGGUUUUUUGUGAAGGUC
rnacentral:lncRNA from 1 species